AGAGUUUGAUCCUGGCUCAGGACGAACGCUGACGGUGUGCUUUAGACAUGCAAGUCGAACGAGAAAGCCCUUCGGGGUGAGUACAGUGGCGAACGGGUGAGUAACACGUGGGCAACCUGCCCCUCGCAGGGGGACAACCGGAGGAAACUCCGGCUAAUACCCCGUACGCUUGUUGGAUCGCAUGGUCCGGCAAGGAAAGGUAGCUUCGGCCAUCCGGCGAGGGAUGGGCCCGCGUUGCAUUAGCUAGUUGGUGGGGUAACGGCCUACCAAGGCGACGAUGCGUAGCUGGUCUGAGAGGAUGAUCAGCCACACUGGGACUGAGACACGGCCCAGACUCCUACGGGAGGCAGCAGCCAGGAAUCUUGGGCAAUGGGCGAAAGCCUGACCCAGCAACACCGUGUGGGUGACGAAGGCCUUAGGGUCGUAAAGCCCUGUUGAUAGGGACGAAGGGCGAAGGGUUAAUAGCCCCUAGCUUGACGGUACCUUUCGAGGAAGCCCCGGCUAACUACGUGCCAGCAGCCGCGGUAAUACGUAGGGGGCGAGCGUUGUCCGGAAUUAUUGGGCGUAAAGAGCGUGUAGGCGGUUCGGUAAGUCUGCUGUGAAAUCCUGGGGCUCAACCCUGGGCGUGCAGCGGAUACUGCCGGGCUAGAGGGUGGUAGAGGCGAGUGGAAUUCCGAGUGUAGCGGUGAAAUGCGCAGAUAUUCGGAGGAACACCAGUAGCGAAGGCGGCUCGCUGGGCCACACCUGACGCUGAGACGCGAAAGCGUGGGGAGCGAACAGGAUUAGAUACCCCAGUAGUCC
rnacentral:rRNA from 1 species